CGCCUCUUGCUUCAGUGAAUAAGAGGUCACGCCUGCCCUGUGACUAUAUGUUUAACGGCCGCGGUAUUUUGACCGUGCAAAGGUAGCGCAAUCACUUGUCCUUUAAAUGUGGACCUGUAUGAAUGGCAUAACGAGGGCUUAGCUGUCUCCUUUCUCAAGUCAAUGAACUUGAUCUCCCCGUGCAGAAGCGGGGAUAAAACCAUAAGACGAGAAGACCCUAUGGAGCUUUAGACAAAAAACAGCCCCUGUCAAUAAACCCUAAAUAAAGGAAAUAAACCUAGUGAACCUGUUUUAAUGUCUUUGGUUGGGGCGACCGCGGGGUAACAAAAAACCCCCAUGUGGAAUGAAAACACCCUUUUUAAAACCAAGAGUCACCACUCUAAGUUACAGAACAUCUGACCAAUUAAUGAUCCGGCUAAAGCCGAUUAACGAACCGAGUUACCCUAGGGAUAACAGCGCAAUCCUCUUUUAGAGUCCAUAUCGACAAGAGGGUUUACGACCUCGAUGUUGGAUCAGGACAUCCCAAUGGUGCAGCCGCUAUUAAAGGUUCGUUUGUUCAACGAUUAAAGUCCU
rnacentral:rRNA from 1 species